GGUGCUACGGCUAUUGGGCCUUGUGUAAAAACAUAUAAUAUAAUUUAAUUUAAUAUAUAGUCCCCUAUAGGGGACUAUAUAUUAAAUGGAUUUUUAGCACUGGGAGCCGAAAGAGGGGCUUGCCCCGUUCACUCCACGCAUCGACCCGGUAUUGCAGCGCCUCCGGGAACGGUGCACCCAUC